rnacentral:rRNA from 1 species
GCCCCUCGGGGCUCUCUGGUGAAUCAUAAUAACUAGUCGAAUCGACAGGCCUUGUGCCGGCGAUGGCUCAUUCAAAUUUCUUCCCUAUCAACUUUCGAUGUUUGGGUAUUGGCCAAACAUGGUGGCAACGGGUAACGGAGGGUUAGGGCUCGACCCCGGAGAAGGAGCCUGAGAAACGGCUACUACAUCCAAGGAAGGCAGCAGGCGCGCAAAUUACCCAAUCCCGACACGGGGAGGUAGUGACAAUAAAUACUGAUACAGGGCUCUUUUGGGUCUUGUAAUCGGAAUGAGUACAAUUUAAAUCCCUUAACGAGGAACAAUUGGAGGGCAAGUCUGGUGCCAGCAGCCGCGGUAAUUCCAGCUCCAAUAGCGUAUAUUAAAGUUGUUGUGGUUAAAAAGCUCGUAGUUGAACCUUGGGCCUGGCUGGCCGGUCCGCCUCACCGCGUGCACUGGUCCGGCCGGGCCUUUCCCUCUGCGGAACCCCAUGCCCUUCACUGGGUGUGGCGGGGAAACAGGACUUUUACUUUGAAAAAAUUAGAGUGCUCAAGGCAGGCCUAUGCUCGAAUACAUUAGCAUGGAAUAAUAGAAUAGGACGUGUGGUUCUAUUUUGUUGGUUUCUAGGACCGCCGUAAUGAUUAAUAGGGACAGUCGGGGGCAUCAGUAUUCAAUUGUCAGAGGUGAAAUUCUUGGAUUUAUUGAAGACUAACUACUGCGAAAGCAUUUGCCAAGGAUG